UAAUACAGAGGGUGCAAGCGUUAAUCGGAAUGACUGGGCGUAAAGCGUGUGUAGGUGGUUGGAUAAGUUAGAUGUGAAAUCCCCGGGCUUAACCUGGGAACUGCGUUUAAGACUGUUUAACUUGAGUACUGUAGAGGAUAGUGGAAUUUCCAGUGUAGCGGUGAAAUGCGUAGAUAUUGGAAGGAACACCAGUGGCGAAGGCGACUAUCUGGAUAGAUACUGACACUGAGACACGAAAGCGUGGGGAGCAAACAGGAUUAGAUACCCUGGUAGUCCAUGCUGUAAACUAUGAGAACUUGCUGUUGGAUGCAUAAAGGCAUUUAGUAGCGAAGCUAACGCGUUAAGUUCUCCGCCUGGGGAGUACGGUCGCAAGACUA
rnacentral:rRNA from 1 species